rnacentral:tRNA from 1 species
UGCUCUAUGGUGUAACGGUUAGCACGUCAGAUUCUGGAUCUGAAGGUGGUGGUUCGAAUCCAUCUGGGGCAA